rnacentral:rRNA from 1 species
AAUGAACGCUGGCGGCGUGCCUAACACAUGCAAGUCGGAUGUGCCGCAAGGUGCAUGGCAGACGGGUGAGUAACGCGUGGGGAAUCUACCUUUUUGUGGGGAAUAACGCUCCGAAAGGAGUGGUAAUACCGCAUGAGACCGCGGGCUGGGAUGCCUGUGGUGAAACCUGGGGACCGCAAGGCCUGGGGCAAAAAGAGGAUCCUGCGUCUGAUUAGCUAGUUGGCGGGGUAAUGGCCCACCAAGGCGACGAUCAGUAGCCGGCCUGAGAGGGUGAUCGGCCACACUGGAACUGAGACACGGUCCAGACUCCUACGGGAGGCAGCAGUGGGGAAUUUUGCGCAAUGGACGAGAGUCUGACGCAGCAACGCCGCGUGGGUGAUGAAGGUCUUCGGACUGUAAAACCCUGUCGUCAGGGACGAAGGUGCACGUGUUAAUAGCAUGUGCGCUUGACGGUACCUGGAGAGGAAGCCCCGGCUAACUCUGUGCCAGCAGCCGCGGUAAUACAGAGGGGGCAAGCGUUAUUCGGAAUUAUUGGGCGUAAAGGGCGCGUAGGCGGUUUUUUAAGUCAGAUGUGUAAUCCCCGAGCUCAACUUGGGAACUGCAUCUGAGACUGGAAGGCUAGAGUACUGGAGAGGGUGGUGGAAUUCCUCGUGUAGCGGUGAAAUGCGUAGAGAUGAGGAGGAACACCAGUGGCGAAGGCGGCCACCUGGACAGUAACUGACGCUGAGGCGCGAAAGUGUGGGGAGCAAACAGGAUUAGAUACCCUGGUAGUCCACGCUGUAAACGAUGAGUGCUAGGUGUAGAGGGUAUCGACCCCUUCUGUGCCGCAGUUAACACAAUAAGCACUCCGCCUGGGGAGUACGGCCGCAAGGUUGAAACUCAAAGGAAUUGACGGGGGCCCGCACAAGCGGUGGAGCAUGUGGUUUAAUUCGACGCAACGCGAAGAACCUUACCAAGGCUUGACAUCCUCAGAACUCUUUGGAAACAGAGAGGUGCCCUUCGGGGAGCUGAGAGACAGGUGGUGCAUGGUUGUCGUCAGCUCGUGUCGUGAGAUGUUGGGUUAAGUCCCGCAACGAGCGCAACCCCUGUGUUUAGUUGCUAACGUUUAAGGCGAGCACUCUAGACAGACUGCCGGUGAUAAACCGGAGGAAGGUGGGGAUGACGUCAAAUCAUCAUGCCCCUUAUGUCUUGGGCUACACACGUGCUACAAUGGCCGGUACAGACGGAAGCGAAGCCGCGAGGUGAAGCCAAUCCGAGAAAGCCGGUCUCAGUUCGGAUUGCAGGCUGCAACUCGCCUGCAUGAAGUCGGAAUCGCUAGUAAUCGCAGGUCAGCAUACUGCGGUGAAUACGUUCCCGGGCCUUGUACACACCGCCCGUCACACCACGAAAGUCUGCAACACCCGAAGCCGGUGAGGUAACCCGUAAGGGAGCUAGCCGUCGAAGGUGGGGUCGAUAAUUGGGGUG